CGGCGAGUGAAGCGGCAUAAGCUCAAAUUUGAAAUCUGGCCCUCUCAGGGUCCGAGUUGUAAUUUGCAGAAGAUGUUUCGGGCGUGGUUCCGGUCUAAGUUCCUUGGAACAGGACGUCAUAGAGGGUGAGAAUCCCGUAUGUGACUGGAUGCCUUCGCCCAUGUGAAACUCUUUCGACGAGUCGAGUUGUUUGGGAAUGCAGCUCAAAAUGGGUGGUAUAUUUCAUCUAAAGCUAAAUAUUGGCCAGAGACCGAUAGCGCACAAGUAGAGUGAUCGAAAGAUGAAAAGCACUUUGGAAAGAGAGUUAAACAGUACGUGAAAUUGUUGAAAGGGAAGCGCUUGCAAUCAGACUUGCGCCUAGUCGAUCAUCCGGGCUUCUGUCCGGUGCACUCGACUAGGCUCAGGCCAGCAUCGGUUUGGGUGGUUGGAUAAAGGCCUGGGGAACGUGGCCACCUUCGGGUGGUGUUAUAGCCCCGGGUGCAAUGCAGCCUACCCGGACCGAGGACCGCGCUUCGGCUAGGAUGCUGGCGUAAUGGUUGUAAGCGACCCGUCUUGAAACACGGACCAAGGAGUCGACCUAUUUAGCGAGUGUUUGGGUGCUAAACCCAUACGCGUAAUGAAAGUGAACGGAGGUGAGAGCCCUUGCGGGUGCAUCAUCGACCGAUCCUGAUGUCUUCGGAUGGAUUUGAGUAUGAGCUAAGUGGGUCGGACCCGAAAGAUGGUGAUCUAUACGUGAAUAGGGUGAAGCCAGAGGAAACUCUGGUGGAGGCUCGCAGCGGUUCUGACGUGCAAAUCGAUCGUCAAAUUUGCGUAUAGGGGCGAAAGACUAAUCGA
rnacentral:rRNA from 1 species